UUUCGGGUGAACGGACACACUGGAACUGAGACACGGUCCAGACUCCUACGGGAUGCAGCAGUAGGGAAUAUUGCUCAAUGGGGGAAACCCUGAAGCAGCAACGCCGCGUGGAGGAUGAAGGUUUUAGGAUUGUAAACUCCUUUUGUUAGAGAAGAUAAUGACGGUAUCUAACGAAUAAGCACCGGGUAACUCCGUGCCAGCAGCCGCGGUAAUACGGAGGGUGCAAGCGUUACUCGGAAUCACUGGGCGUAAAGAGCGCGUAGGCGGGAUAGUCAGUCAGGUGUGAAAUCCUAUGGCUUAACCAUAGAACUGCAUUUGAAACUACUAUUCUAGAGUGUGGGAGAGGUAGGUGGAAUUCUUGGUGUAGGGGUAAAAUCGAAGAGAUCAAGA
rnacentral:rRNA from 1 species